CCUACGAGGCGCAGCAGUGGGGAAUAUUGGACAAUGGGCGAAAGCCUGAUCCAGCCAUGCCGCGUGUGUGAAGAAGGCCUUCGGGUUGUAAAGCACUUUCAGUGGGGAAGAAAGCCUUGGGGCUAAUACCCUCGAGGAAGGACAUCACCCACAGAAGAAGCACCGGCUAACUCCGUGCCAGCAGCCGCGGUAAUACGGAGGGUGCGAGCGUUAAUCGGAAUUACUGGGCGUAAAGCGCGCGUAGGCGGUCUGAUAAGCCGGUUGUGAAAGCCCCGGGCUCAACCUGGGAACGGCAUCCGGAACUGUCAGGCUAGAGUGCAGGAGAGGAAGGUAGAAUUCCCGGUGUAGCGGUGAAAUGCGUAGAGAUCGGGAGGAAUACCAGUGGCGAAGGCGGCCUUCUGGACUGACACUGACGCUGAGGUGCGAAAGCGUGGGUAGCAAACAGGAUUAGAUACCCUGGUAGUC
rnacentral:rRNA from 1 species